rnacentral:rRNA from 1 species
GUUGAUCCGCCGGACCUGACUGCUAUCUGAUGGUACUAAGCCAUGCGAGUCGUUGUACAAUACAUGGCGAACUGCCAGUAACACAUAGUUAACCUAACCUAUGGAUGGGGAUAACCUCGGGAAACUGAGAAUAAUACCCAAUACACCACAGUGCCUGGAAUGGCCUGUGGUUGAAAUGAUUUAUCGCUGUAGGAUGGGACUGCGGCCUAUCAGCUUGUUGGUGAGGUAAUGGCCCAGCAAGGCUAUAACAGGUACGGGCUCUGAGAGGACGGGACCAGGAAGGGGUCCUGAGAUGGGUACUGAAACACGGAGCCAGGCCACAAUGGGGCGCAGAAGGCGAGAAACCUUUGCAAUGUGCGAAAGCACGACAAGGUUAAUCCGAGUGUCUCCUGCUAAAGGAGUCUUAUGGCCAGUGGUAGAAUCACUGGUGAAUAAGGGGUGGGCAAGUUCUGGUGUCAGCCGACGCGGUAAAACCAGCACCUCGAGUGGUCAGGAGGGUAAUUGGGCCUAAAAGAU